CUUCCCUCUGCAUCUGCGUGCUUCUUCCAUGGAUGGAAACAGCAAGUGAUGCUUUCUAUACUCACCCUACCACCACCCACUUCAGGACCACUGCUUCUGAUCCAAAUAGGUACUCUUUACAACAUGCACUUGCUACGUCUGUCUCCUGGAUCUGGCUAAAAUUUGAAACACUGCACGUUUGACAAGGCAUAUAUUGACUUUAAUAAACUGGUGAGGCUUGCCAACCGAGCACAGAGAUCCACAACUGGUCAAAAAUGCAGAGAAUAAGUGACCAUGGGUUGCCCAGCCCUAAUCUAUGCAUCUACAAUGCUACCCUUAUACUUAAGGCUCAGAGAACACUAUGGAAGAAUGAAGGAAAGAUUCUGGAGCCAGAAGACCAGGAUACCUGCCGUGAGAUAAUGUCUUCUUGCUAUAACAGACUUGUGGUUGAAAAUGUGAUUUUUCACCUUCCUGCUCUGGAUGCCUGCUGCUGUUCUUCUUCCAUCAUUGUGGACUCUCUUUCAGAAACAGUAAGCUAAAACAAAC